GACGAACGCUGGCGGCGUGCUUAACACAUGCAAGUCGAGCGGAAAGGCUCCUUCGGGGGUACUCGAGCGGCGAACGGGUGAGUAACACGUGAGUAAUCUGCCCUGCGCUCUGGGAUAGCCACCGGAAACGGUGAUUAAUACCGGAUAUGACCGCUACACGCAUGUGUUGGUGGUGAAAGUUUUUCGGCGCAGGAUGUGCUCGCGGCCUAUCAGCUUGUUGGUGAGGUAAUGGCUCACCAAGGCUUUGACGGGUAGCCGGCCUGAGAGGGUGACCGGUCACACUGGGACUGAGACAGUGCCCAGACUCCUACGGGAGGCAGCAGUGGGGAAUAUUGGACAAUGGGCGGAAGCCUGAUCCAGCAACGCCGCGUGAGGGAUGACGGCCUUCGGGUUGUAAACCUCUUUCAGUACCGACGAAGCGAAAGUGACGGUAGGUACAGAAGAAGGACCGGCCAACUACGUGCCAGCCGCCGCUGUAAGAC
rnacentral:rRNA from 1 species